rnacentral:rRNA from 1 species
UACGUAGGGGGCAAGCGUUGUCCGGAAUCAUUGGGCGUAAAGAGCGUGUAGGCGGCCCGGUAAGUCCGCUGUGAAAUCCCGGGGCUCAACCCCGGGCCUGCAGUGGAUACGGGCUGGCUAGAGGCAGGCAGGGGAGAACGGAAUUCCUGGUGUAGCGGUGAAAUGCGCAGAUAUCAGGAGGAACACCGGUGGCGAAGGCGGGUCUCUGGGCCGUAACUGACGCUGAGGAGCGAAAGCAUGGGGAGCGAACAGG